rnacentral:lncRNA from 1 species
CGAGCAGUCGUGCAAAUCCUAAUAGUUAGAAGAGAUGUGCACUUUGAUAUGUGUUUUCAUCUCUCAGCAGGCAAAGUCCCUGCCAGAGUGGGUUAUCUGAGUCUCCCUGAUACUGAUUAUAGUGCUUUACACAAAUUGCAUAGUCUGGUUCUGGCAGUUGCAGUGCCGGAGGCGUCCAGAACCCAAAGUGGCCAUGCGAUUGGAAAAUGGUGCCAGCGUUUGGCUGCCAGAACUGAUGAUGGACAUGGAGUAGCUGCUGCCCAACUGACCCUCCGAGCAGAACCACAGUCAUUUUUCAUAGAGACCUGUCUGUCUCUCUCUCUCUCUCUCUCUCUCUCUCUCUCUCUCUCGCUCUCUCUCUCUCUCUGUCUGUUUGUCUGUCUCUCAAUUCAAAUUAGCUUUAUUGGCAUGACUUGCAUAGUAUUGCCAAAUCAUUGUACAUUACAUGAACAAGGAAUAACAAUUAUAUAAUACAUAAAACAAAAACAGAUUUGUAAAAUAAUUUAGUAUAUGUAUACUUCAUUUUUUUUCUAAACAAGAAACAAGAAAAAUAUUAAAGACAAGACAGGACAGGACAACAUAUAAUAGUAAAAUAAUAAUAAUAAUAAUAAUAAUAAUAACUUUGCACAACAUUACAUGUAAGUAAUGCUCUUGCUUCAGUUUGGUCCACUGGCUGACAGUCUUAGUUUGUGACAGGCUGAUAUUUUGGUAUUUUGCUGCUGUUGUGAUCAUUUUGGAAUUCUCCCCUAAAAUGUGACUUAAUUUUUCUGUAUUUGGUAAUGCCAUAAAAUUUGGUUUAAUUUGUUGGAAUUUGUGGAAAUAUGCAGCUCUUAUGUUGUGAUAGUAAUCACAACGUAGUAAGAAAUGUUCCUCUGGAAUAGACUAAAAAACUUUGCUGGCAUUAAUGGAAGUGCAUUAUCAUGGUUCAAAUCAUACUUCUCUGACCACCAUCAAUUCACUGCAGUGAAUGAAGAGGUAUCAUAUCGUUCACAAGUGCAGUAUGGAGUACCUCAAGGCUCAGUACUAUGACCAUUACUUUUCACGCUUUACAUGUUACACUUGGGAGAUAUCAUCAGGGAACAUGGUGUUGGCUUUCACUGUUAUGCUGAUGAUACUCAGCUCUAUAUUUCUUCACGGCCCGGUGAAACACACCAAUUUGAAAAACUAGCAGAAAGUAUAGUCGAUAUAAAAACUGGAUGAUGAGUAAUUUCUUACUUAUAGGACCUAAAAACUCUGCUUGUGAAGCAGAAACGUUUCUAGCAUUUGUAAAACAGCAUCUUUCCAUCUCAAAAAUAUAUCUAAAUUACGGCCUAUGCUCUCAAUGUCAAAUGCAGAAAUGUUAAUUCAUGCAUUUAUGACCUCAAGGUUAGAUUAUUGUAAUGCUUUAUUGGGUGGUUGUUCUGCACGCUUAGUAAACAAACUACUACUACUAACUACUACUACUAACUUACUAGAACCAGGAAGUAUGACCAUAUUAGCCCGGUCCUGUCAACACUGCACUGGAUCUCUAUCAAACAUCGUAUAGAUUGUAAUAUCUUGCUUAUUCCAUGAAUGGUUUAGCACCUCAGUAUUGAAUGAGCUCUUGUCAGAUUAUAAUCCUCCACAUCGACUGCGUUCUCAAAACUCUGGCAAUUUGAUAAUACCUAGAACAUCAAAAUCAACUGCGGGCGGCAGAUCCUUUUCCUAUUUGGCGCCUAAACUCUGGAAUAACCUACCUAACAUUGUUCGGGAGGCAGACACACUCUUGCAGUUUAAAUUUAGAUUAAAGACCCAUCUCUUUUACCUGUCUUACACAUAACACACUAAUAGGCUUCUAAUAUCUGUUAGAGGAUUUUUAGGCUGCAUUAAUUAGGUAAACCGGAACCAUGAACACUUCACAUAACACCCGAUGUACUUGCUACAUCAUUAGAAGAAUGGCAUCUACGCUAAUAUUUGUCUGUUUCUCUCUUGUUCCGAGGUCACCGUGGCCACCAGAUCCAGUCUGUGUCCAGAUCAGAGGGUCACUGCAGUCACCCGGAUCCAGUAUGUAUCCAGACCAGAUGGUGGAUCAGCACCUAGAAAGGACCUCUACAUCCCUGAAAGCAGAAGUGGGUAGUAACGAGUUACAUUUACUUCGUUACAUUUACUUGAGUAAAUGUUUGGGGUAACUAAUAUUUUUUUUUGAGUAUAUUUAAAGAUGGGUACCUUUACUCUUACUUGAGUAAAUGUACGUUACUGUGGGCGACGCUCCUCUCGUUACUUAAUCUUAAUGCAAUAAAUGUUAUAACUGCUUCAGUUUAUUCCAAACGCGCCAUUUACUUUUCUCUGGGAGAUGAGUGAUGAUUCAUUCUUUUGAAUCAACUAGGAGACCUCUUUCUGGCAAAUUCUGUCAUCAAAAACAACAAAGUGCAGAUGUGUGUACGAAUCAGUAAAUAAGAUAUUGCUUUCACAGUGUUAACAGUUUCAGUGAUUUUAAUGGGAGUUUUUGAGAGAGACUGAACUCUAUACUUUCAGUGAAAAUAAUUUUUGAUAAUAUAAAUGUUAUUUGCUCUCUUUAUGAACAAUGAAAGAUUACUAGCAGUUUUUAUAUCACAUUAACUUUCAAUGUGAAAUUCACAUGUAAUAUAAAGUCAGUCGUCUUAAAAAUAUGUUAUGGCAUGACACCUAUUUAUGUAAAGUAAACAGACAGAUGUUCU